CUAGAAUUGAUGAUGUCAUCGAUAUCUAUCUUUGACACUGUAGAUUAGGUCAUGUUAGCAAAAAUAGAAUAAAUAGGUUGACUCAAAAGAAAAUCUUCGAAGUCUGUGAUUCUGAUUCACUUCUAGCCUGUGAGUCCUGUUUACUUAAAAAAAUGACUAAGUCAUCUUUUACUGAAAAAGGUAAGCAAGCUAGUGAAGUU
rnacentral:lncRNA from 1 species